rnacentral:rRNA from 1 species
GACGAACGCUGGCGGCGUGCUUAACACAUGCAAGUCGAACGAUGAAGCCCAGCUUGCUGGGUGGAUUAGUGGCGAACGGGUGAGUAACACGUGAGUAACCUGCCAUGGACUCUGGGAUAACCCCGAGAAAUCGGAGCUAAUACCGGAUAGGACCUUUCCUCGCAUGAGGUUUGGUGGAAAGUUUUUCGGUUUGGGAUGGACUCGCGGCCUAUCAGCUUGUUGGUGGGGUAAUGGCUCACCAAGGCGGCGACGGGUAGCCGGCCUGAGAGGGUGACCGGCGACACUGGGACUGAGACACGGCCCAGACUCCUACGGGAGGCAGCAGUGGGGAAUAUUGCACAAUGGGCGCAAGCCUGAUGCAGCAACGCCGCGUGCGGGAUGACGGCCUUCGGGUUGUAAACCGCUUUUAGUAGGGAAGAAGCGAAAGUGACGGUACCUGCAGAAAAAGCACCGGCUAACUACGUGCCAGCCGCCGCGGUAAGAC